rnacentral:rRNA from 1 species
UACGUAGGGUCCGAGCGUUGUCCGGAAUUACUGGGCGUAAAGCGCGCGCAGGCGGCCCGCGAGGUGUCACGUGAAAGCCCCGGGCUCAACCCGGGAGGGUCGUGGCAAACCGGCGGGCUUGAGGCCGGUAGAGGUGGGUGGAACUCCUGGUGGGGUGGUGAAAUGCGUAGAGAUCAGGAAGAACACCCGUGGCGAAGGCGGCCCACUGGGCCGGUACUGACGCUGAGGCGCGAUAGCGUGGGGAUCAAACAGG